rnacentral:rRNA from 1 species
GACGAACGCUGGCGGCGUGCUUAACACAUGCAAGUCGAACGGAAAGGUCCUGCUUUUGUGGGGUGCCCGAUUGGCGAAGGGGCGAGUAACACUAGAGUAACUUGCCCUUGACUUUGGGAUAACGUUAAGAAACUGGGGGUAAUACCGGUUAGGAGCACCUGCUGUUUGGUGGGGGUUGGGAAGUUGCGGUGGUAGGGGAUGGGCUAGAGGCUUAUCUGCUUGUUGCUGGGGGAGUGGAUUACCACGGCUUUGACGGGUAGCCGGCCUGAGAGGGGGACCGGCACAAUGGGCACAGAGCUACGGCACGCAGUACUGCGGGAGGCAGCAGUAGGGAAGAUUGCACGAUGGGCGGAAGCCGGAUGCAGCAACGCCGCGUGCGGGAUGACGGCCUUCGGGUGGUAAACCACUUUCGCCUGUGCCGAAGCGUGAGUGACGGUAAUGGGUAAAGAAGCACCGGCUAACUCCGUG